rnacentral:rRNA from 1 species
AUUGAACGCUGGCGGCAGGCCUAACACAUGCAAGUCGAACGAGUGGCGGACGGGUGCGUAAUGUCUGGGAAACUGCCUGAUGGAGGGGGAUAACUACUGGAAACGGUAGCUAAUACCGCAUACCAUCAGAUGUUCCCAGAUGGGAUUAGCUAGUUGGUGGGGUAACGGCUCACCAAGGCGAAGAUCCCUAGCUGGUCUGAGAGGAUGACCAGCAACACUGGAAAUGAGACACGGUCCAGACUCCUACGGGAGGCAGCAGUGGGGAAUAUUGCACAAUGGGCGAAAGCCUGAUGCAGCCAGGCCGCGUGUAUGAAGAAGGCCGUCGGGUUGUAAAGUACUUGAAGCGGGGAGGCGUUACCCGCAGAAGAAGCACCGGCUAACUCCGUGCCAGCAGCCGCGGUAAUUC